UUAUUUUCAUUCCUCUCAUCCCUGCAGCAAACAGAGGAAUUCUUCAAAACUUCUACUCAAGUAAUCAAAAUUCUCCAGCUUCAAGAACCAAUCUUUUCAGAUCCUUGCUGUUGUGAUUUCUCAAUUCACGGAGGUGAUAUCUCUCAAGGGAAUCGUGAACGCAAAGGAAAAAAAAUAGUUUCGGAUUAAGCAAUCGAGGUUGAGCGGCGACGAGGAUGUGGUGGUGUUGAGC